AGUGUAGAGAGGCUCCUGGUUGGUGGAGAAAACUGCAGAACAACAGACAGCUCAGUGCUAGUAGGGGCUGGGAGAGCAAGGGGAAGAGUUCUUGGCUGGCUACUGGGCCUGAGCUUAGAAAAGCCCUGACCUAAAGGUCACAGCUCCCGCGUCUCCAACGUGAUUCACAGCCACAGAUGGGAGGAUAAAAGGAAAUGAACCAGCCUUGGGAGCUGCUCUGGCCCCAACUUAAGGAAAUGACGAUAAAGAAGCUGUCCAGGACCCUGUGGAACCUGAAUGGUGCUUAUACUGGGAGCUGGGCUGGCUCUCAGCUGCCCCAAGAAGAGGAGCACACAGAUGUUUCCCUUUGUAGCCUGUAUGUGUGCCGAAUGCAGGAACAGAGACUUGGAAUCAAGGGACAGAGCCAGGUCUUCCAACUCUCCCUCUAAUGCCUGACCUAGUAGACCACAUUGUAUGUGGCCUGGGUUAUGCAUUAUAAAAUAAGGAAGGGCAAAGCAGAUGCACGAGAACCUUCCCCCAUCCAACUUGUACUUUGGCCUGUUCCUACAAAUGAAACACCCAGCACACUAUGCUCUGUCUCCAUUGACGCAUGAAGUGGUGCAUGCCAUGCCGUGACCUGACCUAGCUCCACUCUUAGGGCCACCUCAGAUUUGUUGAUUCUCAGGAAUGAGCCAGACCUGGGAACUUCACAACACAAUGCCUAGUGUGACGACAUCAACCAUGGCCACUCUGGCUGGCGUAAGGGUCCUUAGUUGAUGAUGGUGGUUUGAUAAAAAGGAAACUGGCCCUUUUUUUGAAGGUUCUAAA